rnacentral:rRNA from 1 species
GCUGGGUUUAGAACGUCGUGAGACAGUUCGGUCCCUAUCUGCCGUGGGUGUAGGAUACUUGAGAGGAGUUGCCCCUAGUACGAGAGGACCGGGGUGAACGAUCCACUGGUGGACCUGUUGUUGCGCCAGCAGCAGUGCAGGGUAGCUAUGAUCGGACAGGAUAACCGCUGAAGGCAUCUAAGCGGGAAGCCCCCCUCAAAACAAGGUAUCCCUGAGAACCGAGGUAGACCACCUCGUCGAUAGGCCAGAGGUGUAAGCGUGGUAACACGUUCAGCUGACUGGUACUAAUGGUCCGAUAGGCUUGAUUUG